rnacentral:rRNA from 1 species
ACGGCAGCGCGGGAGCAAUCCUGGCGGCGAGUGGCGAACGGGUGAGUAAUACAUCGGAACGUGCCCAAUCGUGGGGGAUAACGCAGCGAAAGCUGUGCUAAUACCGCAUACGAUCUACGGAUGAAAGCAGGGGAUCGCAAGACCUUGCGCGAAUGGAGCGGCCGAUGGCAGAUUAGGUAGUUGGUGAGGUAAAGGCUCACCAAGCCUUCGAUCUGUAGCUGGUCUGAGAGGACGACCAGCCACACUGGGACUGAGACACGGCCCAGACUCCUACGGGAGGCAGCAGUGGGGAAUUUUGGACAAUGGGCGAAAGCCUGAUCCAGCCAUGCCGCGUGCAGGAUGAAGGCCUUCGGGUUGUAAACUGCUUUUGUACGGAACGAAACGGCCUUUUCUAAUAAAGAGGGCUAAUGACGGUACCGUAAGAAUAAGCACCGGCUAACUACGUGCCAGCAGCCGCGGUAAUACGUAGGGUGCAAGCGUUAAUCGGAAUUACUGGGCGUAAAGCGUGCGCAGGCGGUAAUGUAAGACAGUUGUGAAAUCCCCGGGCUCAACCUGGGAACUGCAUCUGUGACUGCAUUGCUGGAGUACGGCAGAGGGGGAUGGAAUUCCGCGUGUAGCAGUGAAAUGCGUAGAUAUGCGGAGGAACACCGAUGGCGAAGGCAAUCCCCUGGGCCUGUACUGACGCUCAUG